GCUGGACAUAGUGUGGAAUAGAGCCAGCUGCCUCUCUCCCAAUCUCUUAAAGCAAUAUGCAGCAUAACCUCAAAGGUAGCUUUGUUCUCCUUUCCUAUCCUUCAGAAUCUGCUAACGCAACCUCACAACUCUUCAUAGCUUUGUUGUAACCUACUGCAUUCAGUUAACAGCACUAAGGUGUAUGAAAUUCCCUCAUGAAUGGUGAAAACAUUUGGCUUCGAUGGAUGAAUAAGGAAGGCAGUUUGUUGCAACUAAACGACGGGAUGCCAACACACAAAAAGGACUCUAAAUAUGUGCAGUUUCACAGCUUUGGUGUCUGAACUACCAACUCCAAGCCUAGCCUACCCCACACAAACGUAGUGAAGAUUAAAAGGGGAGAGGAGAAAACACUAUACACAGCCUCUGGGAGGAAAAAUGAGACACAAAUCAACAACAACCAGCCAUCUAACCACGUGCAGUCCCCUUCCCAUUUUGCCAAUCUUGAUAAACAAAAAAGUAGCAUUGUGUUGAAGUACAGUCUAUAUGAAUUUUUAACUUGUUACAACUAUAAAGUGUUUGAUGCUUU